UUUUUUUUUUUUUUUUUUUUUUUUUGAGAGAGAGCCUCCCUCUGUCACUGCAACCUCCACCUCCCGGGUUCAAGCGAUUCUUGUGCCUCAGCCUCCCGAGUAGCUGGGACUACAAGCACAUGCCACCAUGCUUGGUUAAUUUUUGUACUUUUUUUUUUUUAGUUGAGGCAGGGUUUCGCCAUGUUGGCUAGGCUGGUCUCGAAUUACUGACCUCAAGUAAUCCGCCCACCUCAGCCUCCCAAAGUGCUGGAAUUACAGGCAUGAGCCACUGCACCUGGCCUCCCUUUCCUUUGCCGGCUUCUAGAGGCCGCCAGCAUUCUUUGGCUCCUGGCCUCUCCCUUGCAUCUCUCCAACCUCUUGCCUCUGUCCUCACACCUCCUCCUGCUGAUGACAGCACAGCCUUGCAUUUUCUAGCCGAGGGGCCCUUGGAAAGGUACUUAGCAUCUCUGAAACUGCGUCCUUGUCAGUGAGCUGGAGAUCGUCAGAGCACCCACUUUGUAUGAAGGGCAGACGGGAAUGGGUGGAAUGGGGUCUGUGUCAACGCCAAGCACUACGUCCUGCACACAAUUUUAUAACAGUAACAGUGAUGGCGAUCACCACCACUGUCAUCCAACAGUCGUUUCCGUAGCUUGGAGACACAGAGGGAGAGGUGACUCCUGCCUGAGGCAUUAGGAAAAAAACUCUUUCUUUCUGGAGUGCAGUAUUGUGAUCACGGCUCAAUGCAGCCUCCAACUUCUCACCUCAGGUGAUCCUCUCCCCUCAGCCUCCCAAGUAACUAGGACUACAGGCAUAUAUAAGAAAAACUUUUUUAGAAGUGAUCCCUGAACUGGCCCUGAUCAAAUGACAAUAAAGGAAUGUGACCAAUAGACAAGGGAGAAGGGGUGUGCUGGACAGAAAAAUCAGGACAGCAGAAGGCAUGGGUGUUUGUAGAACAGGGAGGUCCCAAGUGGCCCAGAGCAGAAGGUCAGGGUUAGUGCCAGGAGGCGGGAUGGAUGGCAAAGGGAUCGAGAGCUAGGGCUUUGGGCUCAGACAGGCUCAAGUUCAAGUCCUGCAGCUCCAGAUAAGAGCUCUGCAAACUGGGGUACCUCGUUAGCUGCUGCCGCUGUGCCUUUGUGAAAGGCUCACGGGAACAGUGCCUACCCCCUAGGCUUGCAGCAAUUAAAGGCCGUUCUGAUAUG
rnacentral:lncRNA from 1 species